AUUGAACGCUGGCGGCAGGUCUAACACAUGCAAGUCGAACGGAGCGGCGGAUGGGUGAGUAAUGCCUAGGAAUCUGCCUGGUAGUGGGGGGUAACGUCCGGAAACGGGAGCUAAUACCGCAUACUAUUAGAUGAGCCUUGGUCGGAUUAGCUAGUUGGGGGGGUAUAGGCCUACCAGGGCGACGAUCCGUAACUGGUCUGCGAGGAUGAUCAGCCACACUGGAACUGAGACACGGUCCAGACUCCGACGGGAGGCAGCAGUGGGGAAUAUUGGACAAUGGGCGAAAGCCUGAUCCAGCCAUGCCGCGUGUGUGAAGAAGGUCUUCGGAUUGUAAAGCACUUUAAGUUGGGAGGCGUUACCAACAGAAUAAGCACCGGCUAACUUCGUGCCAGCAGCCGCGGUAAUUC
rnacentral:rRNA from 1 species